AUGAACGCUAGCGACAGGCCUAACACAUGCAAGUCGAGGGGCAGCACAAGGAGCAAUCUGAGGUGGCGACCGGCGCACGGGUGAGUAACACGUAUGCAACCUGCCUGUAAGAGGGGAAUAACCCGUUGAAAGACGGACUAAUACCGCAUAAUACUAAAUUACUGCAUGGUAAUUUAUUUAAACAUUUAUGGCUUACAGAUGGGCAUGCGCAUGAUUAGCUAGUUGGAGAGGUAACGGCUCCCCAAGGCAACGAUCAUUAGGGGUUCUGAGAGGAAGGUCCCCCACACUGGUACUGAGACACGGACCAGACUCCUACGGGAGGCAGCAGUGAGGAAUAUUGGUCAAUGGACGAGAGUCUGAACCAGCCAAGUCGCGUGCAGGAAGAAUGUCCUUAAUGGAUUGUAAACUGCUUUUGCAGGGGAAUAAAGUGCAUCACGUGUGAUGUUUUGUAUGUACUCUGCGAAUAAGGAUCGGCUAACUCCGUGCCAGCCGCAGC
rnacentral:rRNA from 1 species